AAAGGCAUUUCCUUUGUGUUCGACUCCCGAAAAAGCUUAUCCCAUUUUCCUUUAAAGUACACAGCGUUAAUGAGAACCAGCUUGUCCCCAGCAUGAAUGGAGUUCUUUGCCAACAGCUCUGGAAUUUUGCCUUUGGAGAAAAGCAAAGCCUACACUCAGUGGCGCCCUUCAAACAUGAGAUGAACAAACUCCAGGAGAACAACCGGCAGAUUUGAACACCACGUUUUCCAAUUUGCGAGUGUUGAUGUGGUUCCUGGACCUCUCUGGGGCUUUGGCGAAGGACAGCGGCUCCAUCUUGGCCUUGUAGAAGUGCAGACAGGACUCCUGAAAGGACUGGGCACAGAGACAGGGCGGCUCUCUUCUCCAAAGAGCCUGUUGGCGAUGCUGAGAGAGUACGGAGCGCCAGGCUUGUGCACCUGGGCGAGAAGCGACUGGAAGCCUCCAUGAGGGUCCUCCACUGAGCUCAGCCCCAGCGCCUGGGAAGGAAGUAAU